rnacentral:tRNA from 1 species
GGCCUUAUAGUCAAAAUUAUGAUUUAAGACUGCAAUUCUUAAGGUGUAACUUAUGUUUACUAAGGCUU